rnacentral:rRNA from 1 species
AUUGAACGCUGGCGGCAGGCUUAACACAUGCAAGUCGAGCGGGGGAAGGUAGCUUGCUACCGGACCUAGCGGCGGACGGGUGAGUAAUGCUUAGGAAUCUGCCUAUUAGUGGGGUACAACAUCUCGAAAGGGAUGCUAAUACCGCAUACGUCCUACGGGAGAAAGCAGGGGAUCUUCGGACCUUGCGCUAAUAGAUGAGCCUAAGUCAGAUUAGCUAGUUGGUGGGGUAAAGGCCUACCAAGGCGACGAUCUGUAGCGGGUCUGAGAGGAUGAUCCGCCACACUGGGACUGAGACACGGCCCAGACUCCUACGGGAGGCAGCAGUGGGGAAUAUUGGACAAUGGGGGGAACCCUGAUCCAGCCAUGCCGCGUGUGUGAAGAAGGCCUUAUGGUUGUAAAGCACUUUAAGCGAGGAGGAGGCUACUUUAGUUAAUACCUAGAGAUAGUGGACGUUACUCGCAGAAUAAGCACCGGCUAACUCCGUGCCAGCCGCCGCCGUAA